CAGGACAAACGCUGGCGGCGUGCCUAACACAUGCAAGUCGAACGAAGCACUGUGGAAAGAGACUCGGUCAAUUGAAACUUGACUUAGUGGCGGACGGGUGAGUAAUGCAUGAGCAACCUGCCCUGGAGAGGGGGACAACAGCUGGAAACGGCUGCUAAUACCGCAUGAUGUUGCGGGGAGGCAUCUUCCUGCAACCAAAGAUUUAUCGCUCUGGGAUGGGCUCAUGUCUGAUUAGAUAGUUGGCGGGGCAACGGCCCACCAAGUCUGCGAUCAGUAGCCGGACUGAGAGGUUGAACGGCCACAUUGGGACUGAGAUACGGCCCAGACUCCUACGGGAGGCAGCAGUGGGGAAUAUUGGGCAAUGGGCGCAAGCCCUGACCCAGCAACGCCGCGUGAAGGAAGAAGGCUUUCGGGUUGUAAACUUCUUUUAUCAGGGACGAAGAACGUGACGGUACCUGAUGAAUAAGCCACGGCUAACUACGUGCCAGCCGCGGC
rnacentral:rRNA from 1 species